AUAUAAGCGCAAUUGAAAUUCCUAGGGAGUUAUACAUUUGUGUAUUGAGAAGACCAUUUACUAUUUCUUGAAGUUCGAUCUCUCCCCCGGAUGAACCAUAUAGCCAAGAGAAACCAUGAACCAGAAUAGAAGAACUUGCCCUACCCAUGAGUAAAUAUUUCGUAGUAGCCUCAUUAGACCGUACAUCUUUCUUGAUAUAUCAAGAUAAUAGAGGAAUACAUAGAGUUGAACAUAGUAAAAUAAGAAAUUGAAAGAUUUCGUCACGGUGAGAU